rnacentral:rRNA from 1 species
UGUGUAGGCGGUUCUCUAAGUUUGGUGUGAAAUCUCCCGGCUUAACUGGGAGGGUGCGCCGAAUACUGAAGGACUAGAGUGCGGGAGAGGAGAGUGGAAUUCCUGGUGUAGCGGUGAAAUGCGUAGAUAUCAGGAGGAACACCGGCGGUGUAGACGGCUCUCUGGACCGUAACUGACGCUGAAACACGAAAGCGUGGGUAGCAAACAGGAUUAGAUACCCUGGUAGUCCACGCCCUAAACGAUGCAUAUUUGGUGUGGGUCAUUCAGUUGAUCCGUGCCGGAGCUAACGCGUUAAAUAUGCCGCCUGGGGAGUACAGUCGCAAGGCUGAA